CAGCGGCAAACCUGCGCUGCGAGGAGGAGAGGAGGAUGGCAGCAACGAGGAAGAACGUGCAUAUAAGAAAGUAUUUUUCAAAGAAACCUUAAACCCAAAAAUCCUGCCUUCGACCAUGAGCUGCAUUUAUGUGGCUAAGGAGCACCUUCAGAGUUAAAGAAACAAAGAUAAAACAGAUCAUACAUCUCCAGAGCGCCAUGGUGAACUGUUUUCCCGCUGUAGCAAUGCAGCUUUACCGCUCUCCACUGAAGGCCACAGAUGAGAGUGUGGGACCAUGGGAAAGGUACUGUGAGUGGAGGCUUUGGAACCGAACCAGAGAACUGCUGUCACGGCAUGGACAAGUUUGACGAUGCCAUACUGUCUGUGUUGCAGGCUGCGAAUAUUGACGAGGAAGCUUUGAGAAGCUUUACCCGGGAUGACCUAAAGGAUCUUUUUCCGGGCCAUGAAAAUUUCUUCCGGAGAAAGAAGAUUUGGGAUUUUAUCAGCCAAAAGUUUAAGAGUACUGACCAAGAUGCCAACACUUGCCAUCGAAGUGAGAGUAACCCCUUAGGCUUUGAUGUGUCACAAUGUCAACCUCAAACUUCCACUCCCAUUUCCUACACUGCUGACAAAAAAUGAAAAUGCCAGACCCACCAGAGUAUGUGGUGUAUACAGAUUCAGAGUUGGACAUGGUGCGCAGUCAGUACUUUGCAUUGCUCCACAGUGGAAAGGAAAAGGACUGUAAGAUGUCGAAGGAACUCUGUUGCAGACUUGUAAGGAACACAGUCACCAGCAUGGUUGCAAUCCUCCGUGCUAGUCCCAUGGGGAAAGAAGUAAGAUACCCCUCCAAACUCGAAAUGAGAGCAAUGUCACAGAAGAUUGUCGACUAUUACCCCAUGUUACGUGAUGCUGACACACACAUGCCAUACCUGACCAUCUACACCAAACUGUACAAACGACUCCAAAAUAUGAAGUCUCCAAGGAAGAGGCAGGGCUCCAUGCCGCAACGAGGCAGGCUCGGGAAGACUCUUUUCAGCUCAGAUGACACAGACAAUGGGACUGAAGGUGACCUAAGUGGUGAAGCAAGUGGUUCAUGUGACUAUACCAUACUUCUUGAGAGCAAUGAUGAGCUCAGCGAGGAUAACUCAAAUGCAGAGAAAGAAUCCCAAUUGCCACUACCCUCCACUGUACCAACUACGUCAAACAAUACUACCCUGGCUUUACCACUAUUAUCCAAGUCAGCCUCAUGCUCUGCACCCAGGGCUGAUAUAGGUCCAUCAACUGCACCUCUAGAUGAUGUUGUUGCAGACCAUGACAGCCUGAAGAUGCAGGCAAGGCAUUACAAAACCUUGAGCAACAUGUACAGGAAACCCAAUGCAAAACCCAACCAAAGUGACGUUGCUCAAAUUUUGGACCUGGAGUUUGAGGCCAGACGAGCUUUUAUUGACGCAGAUGUUACAAGGGAAGAAGACAGGCCCAGAAAAAUAUUUGAAGCAUACCCGUGCUUCAAAGACAUACGAAAUGCGAUGGAUGAACUGCGUCGCAUCGUUGGUGGCUUCAACUGCAAAUACAUAGAUCAAAU
ensembl:lncRNA